CAUCUGCGGAAGAGUGUAAUUUCCUUCACCUAGUCGGCCAGCUGCAACAGCCUCGGCAAGAAUCUGGUGGAGUUUUACCAUUCCUUGUGACAAGGCGUCUUCUGCUUGCUGACAUGAUUGGGUCAGGUUACAAACCUCCCGAAGUUGUUGUUCUGUCAAGAGCUCAAGAUGUGGUGUGAGAACCUGUAGGUUAACAGAAAAUCUUGUAUUAUGCACGAUUGGGUCAGGUUACAAACCUCUCGAAGUUGUUGUUCUGUCAAGAGCUCAAGAUGUGGUGUGAGAACCUGUAGGUUAACAGAAAAUCUUGAAUUAAGCACCUUUCUUAAUCGAAACAAUAAAGAACAAGACAAUUAUUCACGAGCUUAAGAAAAGAAAUAACAUAUGUUUGGUUUUGGGGAUGAAUUCAACUGAAUGACAAAGACAAUAGACACAUGGACUCGAUAACGAGCGUCAGUUGGGAAUUCAUAUUGAGGCAUGCAUU
rnacentral:lncRNA from 1 species